rnacentral:misc_RNA from 1 species
AUCUACACCGAUUCAACACAUCUUUUAAUUCCACUGACAAGUGUCAAAUGAAAAGUUGAAGAAUCCAAACAUUAACAAGUGCGUACUCAAAUAUGCUUACUGAAAAAUAAAUUUAUCAACAAAUAAAUUAUUAAAUUUUGAACAAUGCACAUGCUUAUAUAACAGCGUCCACUUUUUUAAUUACAAUUUUUAAAAAAAUAUCAAGUUCAGUUUAUCUUAAUUAAACUGUUGCUAAAGAGGUAACAAUGAAGAAGCUACAGCAUGGAAUUAAAAUUUUGAGUAGAAAGGAAAAUGCAAAAACAUAAGAGAGUAUUAUUUUCAAAUGAGCUAGUUGUGCUUGACCAACCAGGCAUUUAGGAUUGAAAUUUCCAACCCAAAGAACUUCAGAAGUCUACCUCAUA